rnacentral:rRNA from 1 species
UACGUAGGCAGCGAGCGUUGUUCGGAGUUACUGGGCGUAAAGAGUGCGUAGGCGGUUUUCUAAGUUGGUGUGAAAUCUCCCGGCUCAACUGGGAGGGUGCGCCGAAGACUGGAAGGCUUGAGUAUGGGAGAGGUAAGCGGAAUUCCUGGUGUAGCGGUGAAAUGCGUAGAUAUCAGGAGGAACACCUGCGGUGUAGACGGCUUACUGGACCAUAACUGACGCUGAGGCACGAAAGCGUGGGUAGCAAACAGG